rnacentral:miRNA from 1 species
CAAUGCCUCUGCAGUGCAGC